GAGGGUAUAGUUCAGCGGUAGAGUGCAUGCCUAGCAUACAUAAGGUCCUGGGUUCAUGCCCCAGUAACUCCA
rnacentral:tRNA from 1 species